rnacentral:rRNA from 1 species
GACGAACGCUGGCGGCGUGCUUAACACAUGCAAGUCGAACGAUGAAGAAAAGAAUCGAAGCUUCGGCAGAAAUUCAUUUCGGAUUAGUGGCAGACGGGUGAGUAACGCGUGAGCAACCUACCUCUUACAAAGGGAUAGCCUCGGGAAACCGGGAUUAAUACCAUAUAACAUUGUGACGAAGCAUUUCGAUGCAAUCAAAGCUACGGCGGUAAGAGAUGGGCGCGCGUCCCAUUAACCGGAUGGUGAGGUAACGGCUCACCAUAGUGACGAUGGGUAACCGGGCUGAGAGGGUGAACGGUCACACUGGAACUGAGACACGGUCCAGACUCCUACGGGAGGCAGCAGUGGGGAAUAUUGCACAAUGGAGGGAACGCUGAUGCAGCGACGCCGCGUGAGUGAUGAAGGAAUUCGUUUCGUAAAACUCUGUUCUAUGGGAAGAAAAGGACGGUACCAUAGGAGAAAGCUCCGGCUAAAUACGUG